CCAACAGGCAGAGGCAGAGAGACAGAGAGGAGCUACCCUGAGAAGAGAGACCAGGUGCUGUUGGUCUUGGCUCAGCUCUGUACGGCACAGCAUGGCAUGGCACAGCUCGGUGCUGGUGCCCAGAGAGAGAGUAUGAAACUGCUGAUGCCUGUGAGAGCUACCCACCUUGAAGGUGGGCAGUUGGGAGCCAGGAACUGGCGUGUGCCUGGAGAGGGAAAGAGUUAAGCUGUGAACCCUGACAGAGCUGGCCUCGCAGGCCAGGAAGAGCAGCUCCUGGCAUUGGGGUGGCAGGAGCCACAGAGCCGGAAUAGACAGCUGAGAUGAAGGCCUCAUUCCCAUGCACUAGCACCAAGAGAUGCUGAGAGAUGGACAUCUGGGAGAGAAGGGAUCCAUGGGCAGGGAGAGUGGGCCAGGAUGGAUGCCACCUGGCCAACCCAGAGUGCCAUCCCUGGGAUCCCUGAAUUCUGUAAGGACAGGACAUGAAGCUGUGUGUAUUCCCUGGAGGUGCUUAUUGCCUGUCUACUAAUAAUAACAUUAAAAACAACA